rnacentral:rRNA from 1 species
UACGUAGGGGGCUAGCGUUGUCCGGAUUUAUUGGGCGUAAAGAGCGUGUAGGCGGCCAGAUAGGUCCGUUGUGAAAACUGGAGGCUUAACCUCCAGCUGUCGAUGGAAACCAUCUGGCUAGAGUCCGGAAGAGGAGAGUGGAAUUCCUGGUGUAGCGGUGAAAUGCGCAGAUAUCAGGAGGAACACCGGUGGCGAAGGCGGGUCUCUGGGCCGAAACUGACGCUGAGGAGCGAAAGCGUGGGGAGCGAACAGG